UCCCAGCCUCUGCCCAUGCGCACUGGCGUCCACGCGCCCACGCCGUCCCGGAGGGUCCCGGGCAUCAUGGCGGAGCCGGAGGUCUCCUCACAGGCUUCCCGGACCCCGCAAACUUGCGCUCCCUCGGGCGCCACCGUCUCUGCAGCCACAACUCCGCCGGUGGUGGGGGUCGGCGGAGCUGGGGGAGGCAGCGGCGGCGGAGGCGGCGGCGGAGGCGGCAGCAGCGAUCCGGUUCGCCCGGGAUUAAGCCAACAACAGCGCGCGAGCCAGCGAAAGGCGCAUGCGCGGAGCUUCCCGCGGGCAAAAAAGCUGGAAAAGCUAGGGGUAUUUUCCGCGUGUAAGGCUAAUGACUCCUGCAAGUGUAAUGGCUGGAAGAACCCAAAUCCCCCCACAGCACCUCGCAUGGAUCUGCAGCAGACAGUCACCAACCUCAGCGAGCCCUGCCGCAGUUGUGGGCACACUCUAGCUGAUCAUGUGUCUCACCUGGAGAAUGUUUCUGAGGAGGAGAUCAAUCGACUGUUGGGGAUGGUGGUGGAUGUAGAGAACCUCUUCAUGUCUGUGCACAAAGAAGAGGACACGGACACCAAGCAGGUUUAUUUCUACCUAUUCAAGCUUCUAAGGAAAUGCAUCCUGCAGAUGAGCCGCCCAGUUGUUGAGGGCUCCCUCGGCAGCCCCCCUUUUGAAAAGCCAAACAUUGAACAGGGAGUCUUAAACUUUGUACAGUACAAGUUCAGCCACCUGCCCCCCAAGGAGCGGCAGACCAUGUUUGAGCUCUCCAAGAUGUUCCUUCUGUGCCUAAAUUACUGGAAGCUGGAAACGCCAUCCCAGUUCCGCCAACGCUCACAAAACGAUGAUGUGGCAACAUACAAGGUCAACUAUACCCGGUGGCUGUGUUACUGCCAUGUGCCCCAGAGCUGCGACAGCCUCCCACGAUAUGAAACCACGCAGGUAUUUGGGCGCAACCUCCUCAAGUCCACUUUUACGGUUACUCGCCGGCAGCUGCUAGAGAAGUUCCGGGUGGAGAAGGACAAGCUGGUGCCUGAGAAGCGGACCCUCAUUCUCACCCACUUCCCCAAGUUUCUGUCUAUGUUGGAGGAAGAAAUCUAUGGAGAGAGUUCUCCAAUCUGGGAGGCUGAUUUUACGAUGCCGGUAACAGAAGGCCCUCCACUUGUCCCCCGUCCAGCGAUCAGCACUGUUCCUGCAGCCAGCACUCCGCUCUUCAGCAAAUCUCUGAGCCGCAGCUCCUCUUUGGCGUCAAUUAACCUGGAUGGCAGCUCCUUGGAUUCUGUGCCAGGUGAGAAGAGGAAGCUUCCGGAGAGUUUGACUCUUGAGGAUGCCAAAAGGAUCCGUGUCUUGGGUGACAUCCCGAUGGAGCUCGUCAAUGAAGUGAUGUUGACCAUCACAGAUCCAGCAGCCAUGCUGGGGCCUGAGACCAGCCUCCUCUCAGCAAAUGCAGCCCGGGAUGAGACAGCCCGACUAGAGGAGCGACGGGGCAUUAUUGAAUUCCAUGUCAUCGGCAACUCGCUCUCGCAGAAGUCAAACAAGAAGAUCCUCAUGUGGCUGGUUGGGCUACAGAAUGUUUUUUCACACCAGUUGCCUCGGAUGCCCAAAGAGUACAUCACCCGCCUGGUUUUUGACCCCAAACACAAGACUUUGGCACUGAUCAAGGAUGGCCGAGUGAUUGGAGGCAUCUGCUUCCGGAUGUUCCCAACGCAGGGCUUCACAGAGAUUGUCUUCUGUGCUGUGACGUCCAAUGAGCAAGUCAAGGGCUAUGGGACUCACCUGAUGAAUCACCUGAAAGAGUACCACAUCAAACACAGCAUCCUCUACUUCCUGACCUAUGCUGAUGAAUAUGCCAUUGGUUACUUCAAGAAGCAGGGUUUCUCUAAAGACAUCAAAGUCCCCAAAAGCCGCUACCUUGGCUACAUCAAGGACUAUGAGGGAGCCACCUUGAUGGAGUGUGAGCUGAAUCCCCGGAUUCCCUACACAGAGCUCUCACAUAUCAUCAAGAAGCAGAAAGAGAUCAUCAAGAAGUUGAUAGAGAGGAAGCAAGCCCAGAUCCGCAAAGUCUACCCUGGCCUCACUUGCUUCAAGGAGGGCAUUCGGCAUAUCCCAAUUGAAAGCAUUCCCGGCAUCCGAGAAACAGGAUGGAAGCCCAUGGGAAAGGAAAAAGGGAAGGAGCUCAAGGAUCCAGACCAGUUGUACACCACCUUGAAAAAUCUCCUUGCACAAAUCAAGACCCACCCCAGUGCCUGGCCAUUCAUGGAACCAGUGAAGAAAUCUGAAGCUCCUGACUACUACGAGAUCAUCCGUUUCCCUAUUGACCUCAAGACAAUGACAGAGCGACUGAAGAACCGCUACUAUGUCACCAAGAAGCUGUUCAUCGCUGACUUGCAGCGCAUUAUCACCAACUGUCGUGAAUACAACCCCCCGGAGAGUGACUACUGCAAGUGUGCCAACACCCUGGAGAAAUUCUUCUACUUCAAGCUCAAAGAAGGGGGGCUCAUCGACAAAUAGGAGUGGCCACUGACCACAUGGGAAUUUUUGCCUCCAUCUCUUCCAUCUUGUUCGAAACUCUUCUGGCUUCUGAGCGGCUGGACAUUUCUCCUGUCUGCCUUUUGCUGAGUCUCACGCACAAACCGAUGUUGUUGGCUGGAUAUAAGAGGUUUCCUGUGCAUGGUUGGAUGUGGGGUGAGAGGGGGAAUACACGCACAGGUGAUCAUCUCUGAACGCUACUCUCCGUUCAACAGCCUGGGAGUUUUUCUCAGCCCUGUUAAAUUCUGAGCCUUAUCACUCUGUCCAUUGGGCCUUCCUUUCCAGAAGAGAGCAGCUGGGAGGAAUCUGAAUGAUGGCUUUCUCCCCUUUUGCUAAAAAGGGUUCUUCAUCAUCACAUGAGCAUCUGAAAUCUAAUGAGGGACCUGAUGCAGCUUCUCUCCCCACCCCGGUUUCCCUUUUGUGUCUGUGGGUUUUCUGUACUUCCAUGCUUCCUGGAGAGAGAAACUCCAGAAAGCUUCAUCUGCUUAUAUGCCAUUCUUGCUUUCAGGUUCAGCCAUUUCUUCUUGACAUGUGAAUGUAGAAAAGGAGCAGUCCUGGGGAAGAAGAGGAUGAAGAUUGUAGGGAAUUAAACAGACUAAAGCAAUAGGGAGCUUUUCGCCCCAUCUGAGGGCCUUUGUGGUGACCAUACCAGAAGCCCCUUCUUCUGUUUGGCCAGUUUACACAUUCCACCUGCAUGUGCUUUCCUUUCCCUCAAAGGAUAGGGGACUUUAAACCUUGGGGUUUCAGUCACAUAGGGCAGAGGCAAGAGUCCCUUUUCCUCCCCUUUUUAAAACUAUGUCCUACUCAGUAAAAGCUGCCCUCAUUAAUUCCACCAAAACCCCCAUGGCGGAUCGAAACACUAUUCUCUACGAAAGGGUGGCUGUUGAUUGUGUAUUCUCUGCUGAAGAACGGUCGCGAUACAUUGAGGGCUGCUUCCACACAGAUGAGCACAGCUGUGCCUCUCUUCCUGCCUUGGACAUCCCUAGCUGGCUGUUCUUUCUUCCCACCUCAGUUUAGAAACCAUUCUGAAUCAUGGUUUCUCUCAGCACUUACUGGACCUCACAACUCUUUGGUCAGCUGCAGCUGAUGGCUUUCUACUCUCCGACCUCGGGAACCCUCCCCUUCUACCAGGACUAGGUAGGCCUCUCCGUCCAGCUUUGGUGCUGCCUCUGACCAUGUCAGUGGUGCUCAUGAUUGUAUUUCUCUCUCUCUCCCCCUUAUCCAUCUGACAGGCACUUUGCUGCAUGUACAUCUGUGAGUAUCAGAUGUGUUGGUUAUUUCUCAUGCCCAAUUUAGGGGGAUUAGGAGAUAUUUUACGUUUUCAAAUGGGGUGGCCAGUUGUGCCACUAGCCAGAUGCUUUAGAACAACCAUUCUGUGUGAUAGAUUAGGGUAAUGUUGACAGCUACUCACAGCCUGGUUGCUUGCCUUAAAUUCCUGUAAAUUUGGGGGUGGUUAAUGCAAGUGCCGCCAUGUCGUGACACAGAACUAUAGCCGCCCCUUGCUUUCCCAUUGAAAAUCAAGAGUCCCAAUAAUAACGUGAAGUGUCCUAGAUUUAGCCUUCUCCGCUGUGGUGCCCUUGAUGUUUUGGACUACAAUUCCUGGCAUUUGUGCCCUUUGACCUUGCUGACUGGUGCUGAUGGGAGCUGAUGUCCAAAACAUCUGGGUUGGAAAAUAAUGCCCUAGAACAUUAAUGAAGUUAAUUGGUAUUCUACAUUAAAUGGGGCUUAUGGGUUGCCUACUUCUUUUCCUUCUGAUACUGCCUGAAAUCAGUUGGGCAAUGGGAGAAAGUGACAGGGAGGGGAGAACAUCUUGCUGUUAGGCAUCACUCCUUCCCUCUCUUGAUUUGAUGAAUCCCUUCAGAAAAUGUGGAGGGGAGAAACAGAAAAAGUGCGCUGAUGAGGUGGGAAGUCAAGAGGCACCCACGGACUGGAUUCACACAACAUGAUGAGCCAGAUUAUGAACUGAGCAUGGGUUGUGUUGUGUGCACCCAGCCAUGCUAAUUCACCAUGGUUUGUGAACCACAAACGGCACACAACGAUAGUCCAUGGGUGCUUGUUGGGUUGUGAAUGGUGGAUUGUUCACGGUUCACACAAAAACUUGCAGUUCAGCACUUAGGCAGCCUGUACUCUGGGUUGUUGUGUUUUGUGAAUUAGACCACUCACUUGCCAGUCGCUUCGCUCCCUCUUUGUGGAUAGUCAGUCCAGGUGGACUUUGCUGGAUCUAAGUACUUGUUCUAGAGGUCCUACUUUGGUUCCAGGGACUUGAUGUAAGGUGUGGCUUCAUAUUGCUUUCCAACCAGAUGCAAACAUCAAUCAGCACUGAGCAUUUUGCCUCAACCACAGAGUCUAAAGAAGUGGCUUUAGAAGUUCCAGUGUGUCCCAUUCUCUUCAACCUUAUGCAGACUCAUCCUCUCCUCCCCUUUCCUCUUAUUAUAGAAGAGUUAUUUGCCCUUUGUGACUCUGAGGAACCUUAUAAUAGGGAGUGGAGAGAGGGAGGAAUGCAUUUAAGUGGUGAUCUAUCUGCCUUCUCUUAAGUGACUGUUGCCUUAUGCCCACCACAUUUGUGUGCUUAACCUGUACAAUUGUGGGGCCUAGCUCUGGUGUUCUGGGCCUUUCAAUAAUGUUGCCAUUCCAUUUUUUAAUAAAUACAAGGAACAAAAUAAUUAAAAAUAUGUUCAAAUUGGAAAUAAA